rnacentral:rRNA from 1 species
AGAGUUUGAUCCUGGCUCAGGAUGAACGCUAGCGGCGCGCCUAAUGCAUGCAAGUCGAGCGGUUCUUUCCUUCGGGGAAGGACAGCGGCGGACGGGUGAGUAACACGUACGCAAUCUCUCUCCCAGUGGGGGACAACCUCGGGAAACCGGGGCUAAUCCCGCAUACGCCUAGUUGGGGCGACCUAACUAGGCAAAGGGCUUCGGUUCGCUGGGAGCCGAGCGUGCGGCCUAUCAGCUAGUUGGUGGGGUAAUGGCCUACCAAGGCUCCGACGGGUAGCCGGACUGAGAGGUCGACCGGCCACAUGGGGACUGAGACACGGCCCCAACUCCUUCGGGAGGCAGCAGCAGGGAAUCUUGCGCAAUGGGGGCAACCCUGACGCAGCGACGCCGCGUGGGCGAUGAAGGCCUUCGGGUCGUAAAGCCCUGUGACCAGGGAGGAGAAAGGACAGUACCUGGUCAGCAAGCCUCGGCUAACUCCGUGCCAGCAGCCGCGGUAAGACGGAGGAGGCGAGCGUUAUCCGGAUUUACUGGGCGUCAAGGGCGCGUAGGCGGCUUGGCAGGUCGUGGGUGCAAGCCCCGGGCUCAACCCGGGGAGGUCCUGCGAUACCACUAGGCUUGAGGAUCGUAGAGGGGGGCGGAAUACCCGGUGGAGCGGUGGAAUGCGUAGAUAUCGGGUGGAAUACCCGUGGCGAAGGCGGCCCCCUGGGCGACACCUGACGCUGAGGCGCGAAAGCGUGGGGAGCAAAGCGGAUUAGAUACCCGCGUAGUCCACGCCCUCAACUCUGAACCCUAGGUAUGGGGGGUACCGACCCCUCCCGUGCCGACGCUUACGCUUUAAGGGUUCCGCCUGGGGACUACGGUCGCAAGACUCAAACUCAAAGGAAUUGACGG